CCGUCAGAUGAACGCUAGCGGCAGGCCUAAUACAUGCAAGUCGGACGGGAUUGGAGAGCUUGCUUUUCAUGAGAGUGGCGCACGGGUGCGUAACACGUAUGUAACCUACCUUCACCAGGGGGAUAGCCUCUCGAAAGAGAGAUUAAGACCGCAUAACAUUAUAGGAUAGCAUUAUUUUAUAAUCAAAUAUUUAUAGGGUGAAGAUGGGCAUGCGGAACAUUAGCUAGUUGGUAAGGUAACGGCUUACCAAGGCUACGAUGUUUAGGGGAUCUGAGAGGAUGACCCCCCACACUGGUACUGAGACACGGACCAGACUCCUACGGGAGGCAGCAGUAAGGAAUAUUGGUCAAUGGGCGGAAGCCUGAACCAGCCAUGCCGCGUGCAGGAAGACGGCCCUACGGGUUGUAAACUGCUUUUAUACGGGAAUAAACCUAUCUACGUGUAGAUAGCUGAAUGUACUGUAAGAAUAAGGAUCGGCUAACUCCGUGCCAGCAGCCGCGGUAAUACGGAGGAUCCAAGCGUUAUCCGGAUUUAUUGGGUUUAAAGGGUGCGUAGGUGGCCUGUUAAGUCAGGGGUGAAAGACGGUAGCUCAACUAUCGCAGUGCCUUUGAUACUGACGGGCUUGAAUGAACUAGAGGUAGGCGGAAUGUGACAAGUAGCGGUGAAAUGCAUAGAUAUGUCACAGAACACCAAUUGCGAAGGCAGCUUACUAUGGUUUUAUUGACACUGAGGCACGAAAGCGUGGGGAUCAAACAGGAUUAGAUACCCUGGUAGUCCACGCCCUAAACGAUGAAUACUCGAUGUUGGCGAUAUACGGUCAGCGUCUAAGCGAAAGCGUUAAGUAUCCACCU
rnacentral:rRNA from 1 species